GUGCUUACUUCAGUAACAUAUAUACCAAAAUUGGAACAAUACAGAGAUGAUUAGCAUAGCUCCUGUGCAAGAGUGACACACAUUUGUGAAGCAUUCCAUAUUUGU